rnacentral:rRNA from 1 species
UACGUAGGUGGCGAGCGUUGUCCGGAUUUACUGGGCGUAAAGAGCGCGCAGGCGGUCGUUCAAGUCGCGUGUGAAAGCCCCCGGCUCAACUGGGGAGGGUCACGCGAUACUGAUCGACUCGAAGGCAGGAGAGGGGAAGUGGAAUUCCCGGUGUAGUGGUGGAAAUGCGUAGAUAUCGGGAGGAACACCAGUGGCGAAGGCGACUUCCUGGCCUGUUCUUGACGCUGAGGCGCGAAAGCUAGGGGAGCAAACGGGG